UCCAGACUCCUACGGGAGGCAGCAGUGGGGGAUAUUGCACAAUGGGGGGAACCCUGAUGCAGCGACGCCGCGUGGGUGAAGGAGCGUUUCGGCGCGUAAAGCCCUAUCGGCAGGGAAGAAGGAGGACGGUACCUGACUAAGAAGCCCCGGCUAACUACGUGCCAGCAGCCGCGGUAAUACGUAGGGGGCAAGCGUUAUCCGGAUUUACUGGGUGUAAAGGGGGCGCAGACGGCAGCGCAAGCCAGGAGUGAAAGCCCGGGGCCCAACCCCGGGACUGCUCUUGGAACUGCGCGGCUGGAGUGCAGGAGGGGCAGGCGGAAUUCCUGGUGUAGCGGUGAAAUGCGUAGAUAUAAGGAGGAACACCGGUGGCGAAGGCGGCCUGCUGGACUGCGACUGACGUUGAGGCCCGAAAGCGUGGGGAGCAAACAGGAUUAGAUACCCGCGUAAGC
rnacentral:rRNA from 1 species